CGGACUGUACACUGACUUCAUGUUUUCCUGGAUAUGAACUUCACUGCGUAAACAGGGAGUGUACAUGCACCCAUGAAGCCCACGGUGGAGGACCCUGCACGAACGUAAACGAUUGUCACGAUAGAUGUCCACAUGCUCAUGAUCGUGAACAUUGUAUCGACGGCCGUUGUAGAUGCAGUCACUAAGUUAUUUUAUUCAAUAAAGUAUGACUAAUU